rnacentral:rRNA from 1 species
GAUGAACGCUGGCGGCGUGCCUAAUACAUGCAAGUCGAGCGAACGGACGAGAAGCUUGCUUCUCUGAUGUUAGCGGCGGACGGGUGAGUAACACGUGGAUAACCUACCUAUAAGACUGGGAUAACUUCGGGAAACCGGAGCUAAUACCGGAUAAUAUUUUGAACCGCAUGGUUCAAAAGUGAAAGACGGUCUUGCUGUCACUUAUAGAUGGAUCCGCGCUGCAUUAGCUAGUUGGUAAGGUAACGGCUUACCAAGGCAACGAUGCAUAGCCGACCUGAGAGGGUGAUCGGCCACACUGGAACUGAGACACGGUCCAGACUCCUACGGGAGGCAGCAGUAGGGAAUCUUCCGCAAUGGGCGAAAGCCUGACGGAGCAACGCCGCGUGAGUGAUGACGGUCUUCGGAUCGUAAAACUCUGUUAUUAGGGAAGAACAUAUGUGUAAGUAACUGUGCACAUCUUGACGGUAACUAAUCAGAAAGCCACGGCUAACUACGUG